ensembl:snRNA U6 U6 spliceosomal RNA
GUGCUUGCAGUACAGAUACUAAAAUUGGAACAAUACAGAGAAGAUUAGCAUGACUCCUGCACAAGGAUGACGAAAAAAUAGUUACUUAAAUUAGUCCUUUUUUU